rnacentral:rRNA from 1 species
UACGGAGGGGGCUAGCGUUGUUCGGAAUUACUGGGCGUAAAGCGCACGUAGGCGGCUUUGUAAGUUAGAGGUGAAAGCCCAGGGCUUAACUCUGGAAUUGCCUUUAAGACUGCAUCGCUAGAAUCGUGGAGAGGUGAGUGGAAUUCCGAGUGUAGAGGUGAAAUUCGUAGAUAUCGGGAGGAACACCUGUGGCGAAAGCGGCUCACUGGACCACAACUGACGCUGAUGCACGAAAGCUAGGGGGAGCAAACAGG